GAAGAGAAACUCAAAGGAAGCUUCAACUCAGGUCAUGUUUCAGAACUUUUUCCCAAGAAUGUUGUCUUUUUCUUUUCUUUUUAUUUUUUCCCCCAAGUCCUAUUAUUUUUUCCAUGACACAUGAUUGCGAUGUCAAAAGCAGAUAUACUGUACUCCAUAAGCGGACCUCUAACAUUUAAACCUAAUUGAGAGGCACACAGAAUUUUAACUGGAAAUUUUGAUUCAGGCAGGUUGAACUAAACAGCCCAUCUGUGCCUACCCUUCAUCUCCCAGUGUAUUCUCAUUUAAGAAAAUUAGACUAUUCCUUUGCUGCUAGACAUUUUUAUUCACUACUCACAUUAGUGGGUAAUCUAAAAACUGAAAUUUUGAUAUGGGAAUAACAGUGCUUGAGAGGAGGCCAGGAAUUGAAGGCAAAAGGAACUUUGAUUCUUUUUAGUGACUUUCAUUCCUCUCUUAGCUUUUAAAAGGAGAAGUUCUCUCUUGUGAUCCUUUCCUGACAUCAUCUUUAACUUUGUUUGUUCUUAUCCUUUCUUUUGAAAAUUUCCCCCAAAUUCAAUGUAACUGUAUUAAUCAGCUAUGGCUACUAUGAUGCUACAUAACAAACCACUGAAAAGUUCAGUGCACUGGUGACACAAGUCUUUAUUUCCUCUCUUACAGGUCUGUGGUUUGUUUGGGAUGGUUUUGCUUCAGGCUUUGAGUUGACUGUGCUUCAUCCCUGGCUUCAGGUUAACUGCAAGUGGGCUUUAUAUAUCUCCACAUACCCCUAGAACCAGGAGCUACCCAAGUCAGGUUCUCUUCACAGUGGUUCACAGAAGGCCAAGGAGGCAAGCAAAAACCUAGGAUGUCUCUUAAGAGCUCGGUUCAGAAUUCCAUAUUCAUUGACCAAAAACUUCAUGUGGCCAAACCCAACAUCAAUGGAAUAGAGAAAUCUCCACUUACGGUCAUGCACUGCCAGACACAUGUUUUUAAAUCAACAAAUAUUCUUUGAAAAAUCUACUAAAUGUUGUGCAAACGAUCUGGGCACCAGGAAUAUAGCAAUAAAGAAGAAAAACAAAACCAUUGCCCUCAUGAUUCCCUACAUUCAAGUAAGUAAAAAACUUGUAAAUCAAUAAUCUCAGGUUGUAAUAAAUUCUAUUGAGAAAAUUUAUUUAAAAUUAUU
rnacentral:lncRNA from 13 species